rnacentral:rRNA from 1 species
UACGUAGGGGGCUAGCGUUGCCCGGAAUCACUGGGCGUAAAGCGCACGUAGGCGGCUUUUUAAGUCAGGGGUGAAAUCCUGGAGCUCAACUCCAGAACUGCCUUUGAUACUGAAGAUCUUGAGUUCGGGAGAGGUGAGUGGAACUGCGAGUGUAGAGGUGAAAUUCGUAGAUAUUCGCAAGAACACCAGUGGCGAAGGCGGCUCACUGGCCCGAUACUGACGCUGAGGCACGAAAGCGUGGGGAGCAAACAGG